rnacentral:lncRNA from 1 species
UUCGAUAUUGUCCUCUCUCUUCCUCGGUCCUCCCGACCUGGUUUAUCCUUGUCCAUCUAUCCAUUCAUUUCUCUACCCAAUUCGUGUACGAAAAUAUCCCCUCCAUCCAACUUCCUCCACUGACAACCUUCAGACCGUCCAGCUCUCUCGUCUCCUUCCCUGUCUCGUCCAGUUGCACCUUCUAUCCUCUCUCUCCACCGUGGAUCUGGUGGCGAUGCGGCGCGACGCUGUCCUUCUCUUCAUUCUCCUCUGCAUCCUACUGGCUUCUCCGGCGGCUUCAGUCUCCACAGCCUGGCGCGAGCACGCGACCUACGAGAGCGUGCGCUCAGCCCUGGUGGAGGCCAGAUUAAGGCGGGAAGGAGCCGAGUUUUGGCCAGCAGAUUGGUGGAUGUCUGACAAGCGGCGUCGGCGUCGACGGCGGAGAUCGCUGCCACCUCCAGUAUACAGACCGACAGCCUAUCAGAACAGACCGCCGGCUAGCCCCUUCUGGCCGCCACCUUGACCUCCACCGCAGCCUCGUCUUCCGCCGCCGCCGAUCCCGCAUCCGCC